UGAUGACAAAUAGACAAUCACCAAUAUACAGAGAUCGAACUGACUUAGCUGCAAAUCUUUCAAUGAGAAAUUUGUAAUUGAGUUCAAGUUAUGCCAGCCAAAAUUAUUCCCAUUAUUUUUACCUCUCUAUUUGUGAUUCUAACUUUUUCAGCUUGCGCAGUACAUGGUUCAGCCAACAACAAUUCCAGUCAACCGAUCCGUAAUCGUCCAAACAUUUAUUCACUGGAUUUUUUGUUGCCUGGAACUAUCGUUGAAUAUAGACGGCAAUGCGCUCGUUUCAGCUCUUACUUCUGCCUCGUCAAGUUUUGGCGGCCCCAACAGAAUACGUCCCGAGCAUCUCCAGCUAAUUUUGUACCUAAGACCGAAGAGAGGAGAAUGUUUAAUUUGGCUAAAAACAACUUCAAGAAACUGAACUGGUUUUCGUUCUUCAAAGACGACGAAAUUUUUGGUGGUUGUUGUCGAUAUCAGCAGCAAACAUAUUUGCGUUGGGGGAUUAGAAACAACCUCUCUGCCAAUCGGUACCUGCAAGAAUUAUCAAACUUCAGCUGCAAGGAAACGUAUUUGAAGUCUCUACAGUUGAUUUACGACGGGUCCAUCUGUAGAAAUUUGGUAACCAGUCUAUCCUAUGGGAAAGGUCAAACCAAAAUAAAAGGCUCAUCUGUGAAUGCACAAAUCGUCUUGACAGUUCCGGGGAUACCCGUCGUCUUUAUCUUCCAGUGGCGAGAUGUGUUCCAUCGCUUGACAUGGGAUUGGUUCAAAACUAACAUCCUUUGCUUAGAGCAUCCGUGGAUUUGCGAACAGUAGUCACUGAAAAUUGAUGUAGUUUUGAAUGGCCUUCAAAAAUGCAAAACCUACUAAAGUAUUUCGAGUUUACACGUUCGCGAAGUGAACCGCUAUUUUCUGCUGCUGAGGAAAUGAUCUUUUCAUUA